GACGAACGCUGGCGGCGUGCUUAACACAUGCAAGUCGAACGGAAAGGCCCUGCUUUUGUGGGGUGCUCGAGUGGCGAACGGGUGAGUAACACGUGAGUAACCUGCCCUUGACUUUGGGAUAACUUCAGGAAACUGGGGCUAAUACCGGAUAGGAGCUCCUGCUGCAUGGUGGGGGUUGGAAAGUUUCGGCGGUUGGGGAUGGACUCGCGGCUUAUCAGCUUGUUGGUGGGGUAGUGGCUUACCAAGGCUUUGACGGGUAGCCGGCCUGAGAGGGUGACCGGCCACAUUGGGACUGAGAUACGGCCCAGACUCCUACGGGAGGCAGCAGUGGGGAAUAUUGCACAAUGGGCGGAAGCCUGAUGCAGCAACGCCGCGUGCGGGAUGACGGCCUUCGGGUUGUAAACCGCUUUCGCCUGUGACGAAGCGUGAGUGACGGUAAUGGGUAAAGAAGCACCGGCUAACUACGUGCCAGCAGCCGCGGUGAUACGUAGGGUGCGAGCGUUGUCCGGAUUUAUUGGGCGUAAAGGGCUCGUAGGUGGUUGAUCGCGUCGGAAGUGUAAUCUUGGGGCUUAACCCUGAGCGUGCUUUCGAUACGGGUUGACUUGAGGAAGGUAGGGGAGAAUGGAAUUCCUGGUGGAGCGGUGGAAUGCGCAGAUAUCAGGAGGAACACUAGUGGCGAAGGCGGUUCUCUGGGCCUUUCCUGACGCUGAGGAGCGAAAGCGUGGGGAGCGAACAGGCUUAGAUACCCUGGUAGUCCACGCUGUAAACGGUGGGUACUAGGUGUGGGGUCCAUUCCACGGGUUCCGUGCCGUAGCUAACGCUUUAAGUACCCCGCCUGGGGAGUACGGCCGCAAGGCUAAAACUCAAAGGAAUUGACGGGGCCCCGCACAAGCGGCGGAGCAUGCGGAUUAAUUCGAUGCAACGCGUAGAACCUUACCUGGGUUUGACAUGGAUCGGGAGUGCUCAGAGAUGGGUGUGCCUCUUUUGGGGUCGGUUCACAGGUGGUGCAUGGCUGUCGUCAGCUAGUGUCGUGAGAUGUUGGGUUAAGUCCCGCAACGAGCGCAACCCUUGUUCACUGUUGCCAGCACGUUAUGGUGGGGACUCAGUGGAGACCGCCGGGGUCAACUCGGAGGAAGGUGGGGAUGACGUCAAGUCAUCAUGCCCCUUAUGUCCAGGGCUUCACGCAUGCUACAAUGGCUGGUACAGAGAGUGGCGAGCCUGUGAGGGUGAGCGAAUCUCGGAAAGCCGGUCUCAGUUCGGAUUGGGGUCUGCAACUCGACCUCAUGAAGUCGGAGUCGCUAGUAAUCGCAGAUCAGCAACGCUGCGGUGAAUACGUUCCCGGGGCU
rnacentral:rRNA from 1 species